AGUAACACGUAAAGAACCUGCCUCAUAGACUGGGACAACUAUUGGAAACGAUAGCUAAUACCGGAUAACAGCAUUAACUGCAUGGUUGAUGUUUAAAAGUUGGUUUUGCUAACACUAUGAGAUGGCUUUGCGGUGCAUUAGCUAGUUGGUGGGGUAAAGGCCUACCAAGGCGACGAUGCAUAGCCGACCUGAGAGGGUGAACGGCCACACUGGGACUGAGACACGGCCCAG
rnacentral:rRNA from 1 species